CAAUAGCGUAUAUUAACGUUGUUGCAGUUAAAAAGCUCGUAGUUGGAUCUCUGGAGGGAGCGUCGGCCCGUAUUUACGAGUGCGUGACGUCUCUGUCCAUCCUUGCGGGAAGGCACGGCAUUGAUUUGUUGUGUCGGAUCGCAUCAUUUACUGUGAAAAAAUUAGAGUGUUCAAAGCAGGCUUUCGCUUGAAUACAUUAGCAUGGAAUAAUAAGAUAGGACUUUGGUGCUAUUUUGCUGGUUGAGCCUAAAGUAAUGAUUAAUAGGGAUAGUUGGGGGCACCUGUAUUGCGUUGUCAGAGGUGAAAUUCUUGGAUUUACGCAAGACAAACAGCUGCGAAAGCGUCUGCCAAGGAUGUUUUCAUUAA
rnacentral:rRNA from 1 species